UUCAGAACGUAAAUUACAUUGCGUUCUACGCUAGUAAUAGCGUAAAUUAAUUACUGACUAAAAUCGGUGAAACCCUUAGUGAAUAUCGUCCGAUAUUCACGGGUAAUACCGAGGGUAAGUCAAGAGGUUUUUUCAAAAAUCCUUUUGAAUCCCGUAGAGACUUGUAGUUUCAAGACUACAGACGUUCACCAUGAACGUAAGACGUCAGCCCCGCCAAUAAUUUUAUAAUUUAGGCGGGUGAAGAUAUAGUCCAUGCAAUCAGAAAUGGUUGA
rnacentral:ncRNA from 1 species